rnacentral:tRNA from 1 species
GGCCGCGUUGCGCAAUAGAUAACGAGUUUGCCCACAGAGCAGAAGAUUGCAGGUUCGAAUCCUGCCGUGGUCG